rnacentral:rRNA from 1 species
GCAAGUCGAGCGCUACCUUCGGGUGGAGCGGCGGACGGGUUAGUAACGCGUGGGAACAUACCCUUCUCUAAGGAAUAGCCACUGGAAACGGUGAGUAAUACCUUAUACGCCCUUCGGGGGAAAGAUCUAUCGGAGAAGGAGUGGCCCGCGUAAGAUUAGAUAGUUGGUGGGGUAAUGGCCUACCAAGGCGACGAUCUAUAGCUGGUUUGAGAGGAUGAUC